rnacentral:lncRNA from 1 species
CACCAUAUUACUACAAAUCUCCUCCUCCUCCAUCACCCAUUCCCCAUACUCCAUACUACUACAAGUCCCCACCGCCACCCAAGGUCCUACCACCACCAUACUAUUAUAACUCUCCUCCUCCACCUGUUGCAUAUCCUCACCCACAUCCCUACCACCACGCAUUGAUUGUGAAGGUAGUUGGUAAAGUCUACAGCUUCAGGUGUUAUGAUUGGGAGUAUCCUGAAAAGUCUCAUAACAAGAAACAUCUUAAAGGUACAUUACAUUACUAAGGAUUAGACUUAUUUAGAGUAACAAGUUUACAGAUAAAACAUUAUUCUUAACUGUUUAUCAGUUACACUUUUAUUUACUUUAAAUUUAUUUUUAAAACGAACACAAUUUUAGAAUAGUUUAAAUCAUCAAUAUUUCGAUAGAGAAAUAUACAAUUCUCUGUUUUACUUUAUAAUAUUUCGAUAAAUGAACACAAUUUAUAUAUGCAUAGCAUUCAAACUUAAUUUCUAAACAAAAUACAAAACAUAGGUCACUUAAAACUGUCUGCAGCCUAUCAUGAAUAAAAAACAAUCAAUAUGUCAAAUAUAUAGAUAUAUAUUCUACUCGCCAUUACAAUUUAAUAAUCCUAUCUCAUAUUAAUAUUCUUUUUGACAAGGAUUGUUUAAAAUGUUGCUCUUUUAAUAAUACUGUCCAAUAUAAUAUGUGUGCUUCAUAUUUUACUUUCUCGUUAACUAAUUUUAUUUUGGGGCAGGUGCUGUUGUUGAGAUAACUUGCAAAGCUGGAAGCAAAAUCAUCAAGGCUUAUGGUAAGACUAAGAUCAAUGGAAAGUACAGCAUAACAGUUGAGGACUUUGACUAUGUCAAAUAUGGUGCCACAGUGUGCAAGGCCGCCCUUUAUGCUCCACCUAAAGGAUCCCCCUUCAACAUACCUACUAAGCUAAACGCGGGAACAAAAUUGUACUUGAAAUCCAAAGACAAAUAUGAGGUUGUGCUUAAGGCAAAGCCAUUUGCUUAUGCUUCAAAGAAACAUUUUAAAGAAUGUGAGAAGCACAAGCCUUCACCAACUCCAUACUACUACAAAUCACCUCCACCUCCCUCACCGGUUUACAAGUACAAAUCGCCACCUCCACCGGUCCAUUACUAUUCACCUCCAUAUUACUACAAGUCACCUCCACCUCCCUCACCAGUUUACAAGUACAAUUCCCCACCUCCACCAGUCCACCAUUAUGAUCCUCCAUAUUACUACAAGUCACCUCCACCUCCCUCACCAGUUUACAAGUACAACUCCCCACCUCCACCAGUCCACCAUUACGAUCCUCCAUAUUACUACAAGUCACCUCCACCUCCCUCACCGGUUUACAAGUACAACUCCCCACCUCCACCAGUCCAUUAUUAUUCACCUCCAUAUUACUACAAAUCACCCCCUACUCCUGUGAAAUCGCCACCACCUCCAUACUACUAUAAAUCACCGCCUCCUCCCUCACCAGUUUAUAAGUAUAGCUCACCACCUCCACCAGUCCACCAUUAUGAUCCUCCAUAUAACUACAAGUCACCUCCACCGCCUUCACCUGUUUACAAGUACAACUCCCCACCUCCACCAGUCCAUUAUUAUUCACCUCCAUAUUACUACAAAUCACCCCCUCCUCCUGUGAAAUCGCCACCACCUCCUUACUACUAUAAAUCACCUCCUCCUCCCUCACCGGUUUACAAAUACAACUCACCACCUCCACCGGUUUACAAGUACAACUCACCACCUCCGCCAGUCCAUUAUUACUCUCCUCCAUAUUACUAUAAGUCACCUCCACCUCCUUCACCGGUUUACAA